rnacentral:rRNA from 1 species
UACGGAGGGUGCAAGCGUUAUCCGGAUUUACUGGGUUUAAAGGGCGCGCAGGCGGUUAUGUAAGUCAGCGGUGAAAUCUCUAGGCUUAACCUGGAAAUUGCCGUUGAUACUAUAUAUCUUGAAUGCUGUGGAGGUAAGCGGAAUAUGUCAUGUAGCGGUGAAAUGCUUAGAUAUGACAUAGAACACCUAUUGCGAAGGCAGCUUACUACGCAGAUAUUGACGCUCAUGCACGAAAGCGUGGGGAUCAAACAGG